ensembl:misc_RNA predicted gene, 27337
UAGAUAGAUGUGCGUGGUCAGCUCGCCGGUCAUGUUAACAAGUCUCAUCAUAAAGAUGAGAAUGAUAAG